AUGUUGCAGGAGGAUGGGGGUAUUGAUGAAGAUGUGAACCAUCGAAUCAAAGCCGGAUGGAUGAAGUGGCGCCAAGCUUCUGGCAUUCUCUGUGACAAGAGAGUGCCACAAAAGCUAAAAGGCAAGUUCUACAGGACGGCGGUUCGACCCGCAAUGUUGUAUGGCGCGGAGUGUUGGCCGACUAAAAGGCGACAUGUUCAACAGUUAGGUGUGGCGGAGAUGCGUAUGUUGAGAUGGAUGUGUGGCCACACGAGGAAGGAUCGAGUCCGGAAUGAUGAUAUACGAGAUAGAGUUGGGGUAGCACCAAUUGAGGAGAAGCUUGUCCAACAUCGUUUGAGAUGGUUUGGGCAUAUUCAGCGCAGGCCUCUAGAAGCUCAGUGCAUAACGGACGGCUAA
rnacentral:rRNA from 1 species